rnacentral:rRNA from 1 species
GACGUAGGGGGCCAGCGUUGUUCGGAAUUACUGGGUGUAAAGGGUUCGUAGGCGGUUUUGUAAGUCAGAUGUGAAACCCCCAGGCUCAACCUGGGACCGCCAUCCGAUACUGUCAUGGCUAGAGUCCGGUAGGGGCCCACGGAACUCCUGGUGUAGCGGUGAAAUGCGCAGAUAUCAGGAAGAACACCGGUGGCGAAGGCGGUGGGCUGGGCCGGUACUGACGCUGAGGAGCGAAAGCGUGGGGAGCGAACAGG